CACCCGAGACUCAGUGAAAUUGAACUCGCUGUGAAGAUGCAGUGUACCCGCGGCAAGACGGAAAGACCCCGUGAACCUUUACUAUAGCUUGACACUGAACAUUGAGCCUUGAUGUGUAGGAUAGGUGGGAGGCUUUGAAGUGUGGACGCCAGUCUGCAUGGAGCCGGCCUUGAAAUACCACCCUUUAAUGUUUGAUGUUCUAACGUGGACCCGUGAUCCGGGUUGCGGACAGUGUCUGGUGGGUAGUUUGACUGGGGCGGUCUCCUCCUAAAGAGUAACGGAGGAGCACGAAGGUUGGCUAAUCCUGGUCGGACAUCAGGAGGUUAGUGCAAUGGCAUAAGCCAGCUUGACUGCGAGCGUGACGGCGCGAGCAGGUGCGAAAGCAGGUCAUAGUGAUCCGGUGGUUCUGAAUGGAAGGGCCAUCGCUCAACGGAUAAAAGGUACUCCGGGGAUAACAGGCUGAUACCGCCCAAGAGUUCAUAUCGACGGCGGUGUUUGGCACCUCGAUGUCGGCUCAUCACAUCCUGGGGCUGAAGUAGGUCCCAAGGGUAUGGCUGUUCGCCAUUUAAAGUGGUACGCGAGCUGGGUUUAGAACGUCGUGAGACAGUUCGGUCCCUAUCUGCCGUGGGCGCUGGAGAACUGAGGGGGGCUGCUCCUAGUACGAGAGGACCGGAGUGGACGCAUCACUGGUGUUCGGGUUGUCAUGCCAAUGGCACUGCCCGGUAGCUAAAUGCGGAAGAGAUAAGUGCUGAAAGCAUCUAAGCACGAAACUUGCCCCGAGAUGAGUUCUCCCUGACCCUUUAAGGGUCCUGAAGGAACGUUGAAGACGACGACGUUGAUAGGCCGGGUGUGUAAGCGCAGCGAUGCGUUGAGCUAACCGGUACUAAUGAACCGUGAGG
rnacentral:rRNA from 1 species